AAGGGUUCUAUAUUAAAGGAGAUAACCCACUGAAUUGAAGCAUCUCACUA
rnacentral:rRNA from 1 species